rnacentral:rRNA from 1 species
GACGAACGCUGGCGGCGCGCCUAACACAUGCAAGUCGAACGAGAGAUGAGGAGCUUGCUCUUCAAAUCGAGUGGCGAACGGGUGAGUAACGCGUGAGGAACCUGCCUCAAAGAGGGGGACAACAGUUGGAAACGACUGCUAAUACCGCAUAAGCCCACGGCUCGGCAUCGAGCAGAGGGAAAAGGAGCAAUCCGCUUUGAGAUGGCCUCGCGUCCGAUUAGCUAGUUGGUGAGGUAACGGCCCACCAAGGCAACGAUCGGUAGCCGGACUGAGAGGUUGAACGGCCACAUUGGGACUGAGACACGGCCCAGACUCCUACGGGAGGCAGCAGUGGGGAAUAUUGCACAAUGGGGGAAACCCUGAUGCAGCGACGCCGCGUGGAGGAAGAAGGUCUUCGGAUUGUAAACUCCUGUUGUUGAGGAAGAUAAUGACGGUACUCAACAAGGAAGUGACGGCUAACUACGUGCCAGCAGCCGCGGUAAAACGUAGGUCACAAGCGUUGUCCGGAAUUACUGGGUGUAAAGGGAGCGCAGGCGGGAGAACAAGUUGGAAGUGAAAUCCAUGGGCUCAACCCAUGAACUGCUUUCAAAACUGUUUUUCUUGAGUAGUGCAGAGGUAGGCGGAAUUCCCGGUGUAGCGGUGGAAUGCGUAGAAAUCGGGAGGAACACCAGUGGCGAAGGCGGCCUACUGGGCACCAACUGACGCUGAGGCUCGAAAGUGUGGGUAGCAAACAGGAUUAGAUACCCUGGUAGUCCACACCGUAAACGAUGAUUACUAGGUGUUGGAGGAUUGACCCCUUCAGUGCCGCAGUUAACACAAUAAGUAAUCCACCUGGGGAGUACGACCGCAAGGUUGAAACUCAAAGGAAUUGACGGGGGCCCGCACAAGCAGUGGAGUAUGUGGUUUAAUUCGACGCAACGCGAAGAACCUUACCAAGUCUUGACAUCUCUUGACGAUGCUGGAAACAGUAUUUCUCUUCGGAGCAAGGAGACAGGUGGUGCAUGGUUGUCGUCAGCUCGUGUCGUGAGAUGUUGGGUUAAGUCCCGCAACGAGCGCAACCCUUAUGGUCAGUUACUACGCAAGAGGACUCUGGCCAGACUGCCGUUGACAAAACGGAGGAAGGUGGGGAUGACGUCAAAUCAUCAUGCCCUUUAUGACUUGGGCUACACACGUACUACAAUGGCGUUAAACAAAGAGAAGCAAGACCGCGAGGUGGAGCAAAACUCAGAAACAACGUCCCAGUUCGGACUGCAGGCUGCAACUCGCCUGCACGAAGUCGGAAUUGCUAGUAAUCGUGGAUCAGCAUGCCACGGUGAAUACGUUCCCGGGCCU